AAGCAGACGUGAUGAAUGAAAGGAAGGAAAAGGUACUGGAGGGUGAAUGAGUGAGCAGUUUUUAAUAAUGGACCAUAGAAUGUAAGCUGAGUCUAGAGGGAACUGAAGAUUUUAUGGGAGUGAGGGAUGGUGAAUGGAUGGAGCAUAGGUCCUAGUGAGGAUGAAGAAUUUUUGGAGUUGGAGUAUCGAGGAAUGGCAUGGAAAGAAGAGAUCAGUAGGUCUAAGAGUGGAUGCAUGAAAUGACCAAGUCUGGGGUAUAAUUAUCGGUCCAAAGAAUUUAUAGAUAAUCUUACUGGAUCAGAAAGACUAGAAACCUGCCCCAGGACAGAAGUUGCAGAGCCAGAACUAAUCACAGGAUUUCUGUGGUUUCUACAUGAUUCAGCAUCCCAAAGAUAGCAAGGAAUCCUAAAAGACUGAACAGAGAAGCAGUCAGCGGAUGGGCUCUAGUCUAACACUGUGGAAACAGAAUUGGAAGUCAAAUACGUGCCAAAAUGUAAUGCUGAUAGCAUGUACAUUCAAAGAACAUAUAUAGCAACCACACUUCAGUGCUGAUUGGGCAGGGUUUCCAUAGCAAUAUGAUUUAUUUCCAGUAGAAUUUUUCAACUGAAAAGAGUAAGCUUCCCCUCAUUAAAAGAAAUAAAUAAAAAGUUCAUCAAUAUUUAUUUUUCCAUUAUACACAGAUCAUAAUGCCUGGUUAUGGCAAAAAGACCGCAAUUCCCACCAGAGAGCAAAAAGGAAGUAAAGCUACCAUUGUUGAUCUGAAACUAAAUGGAUUCUUGUCCGUUGUGAGGAGCAGCAGCCUACAAAGCACACUGAAUGCCAAAUGUGUUGCACCAGGGCUACAGGGAGUCGACUGCUCACAGAAAGCAAGCAUUCUGUUCUAAUUCUGUGCUGUAAGCUUUGCAAUAAGAGGCUCCAUAUGAGAAGGCUGGUGGUUGCCCAGCUGGGCUUAUGACAGACACACCCAGAUGUUUUUAAUCUAUGCAAAAUAAUGAUGGAUACUUGCUACCUUCUUCAACUAAUUUUCAAGAUGUAUUUAUAUAAAAUAAAAGAGUCUUUUAAAGCACAACUUUUUUCAAAUGUAUUUGUUACUGCACCUUUUGCCCUGGAAAAUUAUUUUUCUAUUUUUAUUUUUAUUUUUUGAGACAGGGUCUCACUCUGUCACCCAGGUUGGAGUGCAGUGGUGUGAUCACAGAUCACUGCAGCCUCGACCCCCACAGGCUCAAGUGAUCCUCCCACCUCAGGCCCCUGAGUAGCUGGGACUACAGGCAUGCACCACUAUACCAGCUGAUUUUUAAAACUUUUUGUAGAGACAGAAUCUCACUACAUUGCCCAAGCUAGUCUCAAACUUCUGGUCUCGAGCCACCCUCCCACCUCAGCCUCCCAAUGUGCUGGGAUUACAGGCAUACGCCACCACACCCAGCCUUAUUAUUUUGCUCUUUAGAGAUAAGAUAUCCAAACUUCAAAAAUAUUGUUAAUUUGGUACAAGUUAAAUCUCAGAAAUUUUGGAAACAAUCGCCUUCUGUAAUAUAUGUAAAAUAUUAUACACAGUGUCUGGCAUACAGUUAGUGCUAAAUAAAAGUUUUUC
rnacentral:lncRNA from 10 species